rnacentral:rRNA from 1 species
AGGAAUAUUGGUCAAUGGGCGAGAGCCUGAACCAGCCAAGUAGCGUGCAGGACGACGGCCCUAUGGGUUGUAAACUGCUUUUAUAAGGGAAUAAAGUGAGUCUCGUGAGACUUUUUGCAUGUACCUUAUGAAUAAGGACCGGCUAAUUCCGUGCCAGCAGCCGCGGUAAUACGGAAGGUCCGGGCGUUAUCCGGAUUUAUUGGGUUUAAAGGGAGCGUAGGCCGGAGAUUAAGCGUGUUGUGAAAUGUAGACGCUCAACGUCUGCACUGCAGCGCGAACUGGUUUCCUUGAGUACGCACAAAGUGGGCGGAAUUCGUGGUGUAGCGGUGAAAUGCUUAGAUAUCACGAAGAACUCCGAUUGCGAAGGCAGCUCACUGGAGCGCAACUGACGCUGAAGCUCGAAAGUGCGGGUAUCGAACAGGAUUAGAUACCCUGGUAGUCCGCACGGUAAACGAUGGAUGCCCGCUGUUGGUCUGAACAGGUCAGCGGCCAAGCGAAAGCAUUAAGCAUCCCACCUGGGGAGUACGCCGGCAACGGUGAAACUCAAAGGAAUUGACGGGGGCCCGCACAAGCGGAGGAACAUGUGGUUUAAUUCGAUGAUACGCGAGGAACCUUACCCGGGCUUGAAUUGCAGAGGAAGGAUUUGGAGACAAUGACGCCCUUCGGGGCCUCUGUGAAGGUGCUGCAUGGUUGUCGUCAGCUCGUGCCGUGAGGUGUCGGCUUAAGUGCCAUAACGAGCGCAACCCCUCUCCUUAGUUGCCAUCAGGUUAAGCUGGGCACUCUGGGGACACUGCCACCGUAAGGUGUGAGGAAGGUGGGGAUGACGUCAAAUCAGCACGGCCCUUACGUCCGGGGCUACACACGUGUUACAAUGGCAGGUACAGAGAGACGGUCCCUUGCAAAAUGGAUCAAAUCCUUAAAGCCUGUCUCAGUUCGGACUGGGGUCUGCAACCCGACCCCACGAAGCUGGAUUCGCUAGUAAUCGCGCAUCAGCCAUGGCGCGGUGAAUACGUUCCCG